GAUGAAAACGCAGCGAAAUGCGAUAACUAAUGUGAAUUGCAGAAUUCAGUGAAUCAUCGAGUCUUUGAACGCACAUUGCGCCCCCUGGUAUUCCGGGGGGCAUGCCUGUCCGAGCGUCAUUGCUGCCCUCAAGCACGGCUUGUGUGUUGGGCUCCGUCCCCCCGGGGACGGGCCCGAAAGGCAGCGGCGGCACCGAGUCCGGUCCUCGAGCGUAUGGGGCUUUGUCACCCGCUCUGUAGGCCCGGCCGGCGCCAGCCGACAACCCAUCAUCCUUUUCAGGUUGACCUCGGAUCAGGUAGGGAUACCCGCUGAACUUAAGCAUAUCAAUAAGCGGAGGA
rnacentral:misc_RNA from 1 species